rnacentral:lncRNA from 1 species
AUAUAUAUAUAUAGUUCCACUGGGAUACUAUCGAUAGUACCAAGUGUUUGGUGCUAUCAAGUUUUCCGCCGUCGAUUUAAUUCUUUAACUAUUUUCACUCGUUGGAUUAUAUUAUUCAACCAAUAACUCACUCAAACUUAGGGGUCCCAUAUCAUCCUAAUCAUAUAUUUUUAAAUUUAGGAAAAACUUCAAAAACCCCCUCUGUGGUUUCGCAGUUUCUCACUUUGUCCCUCUAUGGUUUAAAAUGUAUCAAUUUGUCCCCCUGUGGUUUCUUUUUUCUCUUUUUCAUAUCAAUUUUAUUUUUUUUUUCUUAAAUCAGUGAUAAAGUUAAAAUUAAAGGGUACUAAAGUGAAUAUUUGAUAAAUCUAGAUGGGUAUCUGAAGUUUUUUGUAUAUAAUUUAAUGAAAUAUUAACGAAAAAGCUAUCGAAAAGAUAAAAACAAAACCACAUGGGGACAAUUUGAUAUAUUUUAAACCACAUGGGGGCAAAGUUAGAAACUAUGAAACCACAGGGGGGGUUUUUGAAGUUUUUUUUUAAAUUUAAGAAUCGAAAAUCUAAUAGCACCAAACGUUUGGGGCUAUUGAUAUAGUAUUCCU